CGCCGCGGUAAUACCGAGGGUACAAGCGUUAAUCGGAAUUACUGGGCGUAAAGCGCGCGUAGGCGGUUAAGUAAGUUGGAUGUGAAAGCCCUGGGCUCAACCUAGGAACUGCAUUCAAAACUAUUUAACUAGAGUACGAGAGAGGAGAGUAGAAUUUCUGGUGUAGCGGUGAAAUGCGUAGAUAUCAGAAGGAAUACCAACGGCGAAGGCAGCUCUCUGGAUCGUCACUGACGCUAAGGUGCGAAAGCGUGGGUAGCAAACAGGAUUAGAUACCCUGGUAGUCCACGCCGUAAACGAUGAGAACUAGCCGUUGGGGAGAAUUAACUCUCCAGUGGCACAGCUAACGCAUUAAGUUCUCCGCCUGGGGACUACGGCCGCAAGGCUAAAACUCAAAUGAAUUGACGGGGGCCCGCACAAGCGGUGGAUCAUGUGGUUUAAUUCGAUGCAACGCGAAGAACCUUACCUACCCUUGAAAUCCAGCGAAGUUCCUAGAGAUAGGAAUGUGCCUUCGGGAACGCUGUGACAGGUGUUGCAUGGCUGUCGUCAGCUCGUGUCGUGAGAUGUAUGGUUAAGUCCAGUAACGAGCGCAACCCCUAUCCUUAUUUGCCAGCGCAUAAUGGCGGGAACUAUAAGGAGACUGCCGGUCAUAAACCGGAGGAAGGCGGGGACGACGUCAAGUCAUCAUGGCCCUUAUGGGUAGGGCUACACACGUGAUACAAUGGGUGGUACAGAGGGUCGCCAAAGCGCGAGCUGGAGCCAAACCCUUAAAACCAUUCUUAGUCCGGAUUGGAGUCUGCAACUCGACUCCAUGAAGUUGGAAUCGCUAGUAAUCGCGAAUCAGAAUGUCGCGGUGAAUACGUUCUCGGGCCUUGUACACACCGCCCG
rnacentral:rRNA from 1 species